AUACUGCAGUCUGACAGAGAUGGUAAAAAAAAAAUGGCUUGCAGAUUGCACAUUAGAAGAUUCCUCUCCCUCACUGAAAACUUGUGAGAAGGCAGCCAAAAGAGGUUCUCCUUCCUGCGUGAUGGGAAAGUCAAGGAUAAUAAAUAGAAAACCAGCCGAGUGGAUGGCUUCAAUACUAGGCCAACCUAUAAUGCACCCCAUGAAUGAAUUUCCACCUAUACUCACUUCAUGUUUCCCCUGCACAGAAGUGCUACGGAGUUAAUAGGACAGAUGAAAUAACAGGUAUAUACAUCUGUUUUUUUAAAUGGGCUAUUCAUCAGGCACAGGGGAAGAAGCUAUAGGUUUUCUCAGUGCUUCUGAAAUUCUCAAACAGGAAUGCAUAGGUUUCUAAACUCAGGCAAAACCAAAAUUCCUUUCCUUUUUUUUUUUUAAACACACACACACACACACACACACACACACACACACACACAAAUACAAGAUCUCACUCUAUUGCACAGGCUGGAGUGCAAUAGUGUGAUCAUGGCUCAUGCAGCUUUGAACUCCUGGGCUCAAGUGAUCCUCCUGCCUCAGACUCCCAAGUAACUGGAAUUAUAAGUACAAGCACAGUGCUUUGCCUUCCUUUUAAAAAUUUCUUCAGUACAUCCCUUGAGGGGGCCUUUCUACCUGCUGCAUGAUUUCUCACACUGCUACCCACUUCUGGCUUCCAUUAGGUAUAUACUUCUAUUGGCUUUUGUUAUCAUUUUAUAAUAAAAUGAGGAAGGAUGUGAGUCCUAGAUUACCUUGCUUAAUGGUGGCACAGCCUUUUCUUGAUGAGACAUUUAAUGGUAGUCUAUUUUCUUAUAAAUGCAUACAAAUCAUAUGUGCUAGACUGAAAAUUGUUCAGAACUAUUCUGCUUACUCUGUAUCCAUAUUCUUUAUACUAUGAUUUUGCUGCUCCUCCCAUCAAAAGGUGACACCUUUGAAUUUGGGCUGAUCUGGUGAUUGGUUUUGCCCAAUAAAACCUGGUAAAACGAUGGUACAGCAGCUUUAAGCCAAGACCUCAAGAAGCCUUGUGUAGUUCCAUAUUCUCUUUGAAAUCCUACUAUCAGCAU
rnacentral:lncRNA from 10 species